UACGUAGGGCGCAAGCGUUAUCCGGAAUUAUUGGGCGUAAAGAGCGUGUAGGCGGCCCGGUAAGUCCGUUGUGAAAGUCCAGGGCUCAACCCUGGAAAGCCGAUGGAUACUGCCGGGCUAGAGUUCGGAAGAGGCGAGUGGAAUUCCUGGUGUAGCGGUGGAAUGCGCAGAUAUCAGGAGGAACACCUAUAGCGAAGGCAGCUCGCUGGGACGACACUGACGCUGAGACGCGAAAGCGUGGGGAGCGAACAGG
rnacentral:rRNA from 1 species